AUACUUACCUGACGAGGCAGUCAACCGCGAUCAAGCAGGCAGUUCUGCCUAGGCGAGGCCUAGCCAUUGCACUUCGGCCGGGCUGACCCUAGCGAUUAUCCCAAAUGUGGAUAACUCGGUCGUGUAAUUUCUGUUAGUGGGGACUGCGUUCGCGCUAUCCCCU